GUGCUCACUUCGCCAGCACAUAUAAUAAAAUUGAAAUGAUACAGAGAUUAGCAUGGCCCCUGAGAAAGGAUAAUGUUUAAAUUAAUGCAGUGUUCCAUAUUCUC